AUGAACGCUAGCGACAGGCUUAACACAUGCAAGUCGAGGGGCAUCAUGAGGUAGCAAUACCUUGAUGGCGACCGGCGCACGGGUGAGUAACGCGUAUGCAACCUGCCCGAUACCGGGGUAUAGCCCAUGGAAACGUGGAUUAACACCCCAUAGUACUUUUAUCCUGCAUGGGAUGUGAGUUAAAUGUUCAAGGUAUCGGAUGGGCAUGCGUCCUAUUAGUUAGUUGGCGGGGUAACAGCCCACCAAGACGAUGAUAGGUAGGGGUUCUGAGAGGAAGGUCCCCCACAUUGGAACUGAGACACGGUCCAAACUCCUACGGGAGGCAGCAGUGAGGAAUAUUGGUCAAUGGACGUAAGUCUGAACCAGCCAAGUCGCGUGAGGGAAGACUGCCCUAUGGGUUGUAAACCUCUUUUAUAAGGGAAGAAUAAGUUCUACGUGUAGAAUGAUGCCUGUACCUUAUGAAUAAGCAUCGGCUAACUCCGUGCCAGCAGCCGCGGUAAUACGGAGGAUGCGAGCGUUAUCCGGAUUUAUUGGGUUUAAAGGGUGCGUAGGCGGUUUAUUAAGUUAGUGGUUAAAUAUUUGAGCUAAACUCAAUUGUGCCAUUAAUACUGGUAAACUGGAGUACAGACGAGGUAGGCGGAAUAAGUUAAGUAGCGGUGAAAUGCAUAGAUAUAACUUAGAACUCCGAUAGCGAAGGCAGCUUACCAGACUGUAACUGACGCUGAUGCACGAGAGCGUGGGUAGCGAACAGGAUUAGAUACCCUGGUAGUCCACGCCGUAAACGAUGCUCACUGGUUCUGUGCGAUAUAUUGUACGGGAUUAAGCGAAAGUAUUAAGUGAGCCACCUGGGGAGUACGUCGGCAACGAUGAAACUCAAAGGAAUUGACGGGGGCCCGCACAAGCGGAGGAACAUGUGGUUUAAUUCGAUGAUACGCGAGGAACCUUACCCGGGCUUGAAUUGCAACUGAAUGAUGUGGAGACAUGUCAGCCGCAAGGCAGUUGUGAAGGUGCUGCAUGGUUGUCGUCAGCUCGUGCCGUGAGGUGUCGGGUUAAGUCCCAUAACGAGCGCAACCCUUACCGUUAGUUGCUAGCAUGUAAUGAUGAGCACUCUAACGGGACUGCCACCGUAAGGUGAGAGGAAGGCGGGGAUGACGUCAAAUCAGCACGGCCCUUACACCCAGGGCUACACACGUGUUACAAUGGCCGGUACAGAGGGCUGCUACCAGGUGACUGGAUGCCAAUCUCAAAAGCCGGUCGUAGUUCGGAUUGGAGUCUGUAACCCGACUCCAUGAAGUUGGAUUCGCUAGUAAUCGCGCAUCAGCCAUGGCGCGGUGAAUACGUUCCCGGGCCUUGUACACACCGCCCGUCAAGCCAUGGAAGCCGGGGGUGCCUGAAGUCCGUAACCGCGAGGAUCGGCCUAGGGCAAAACUGGUAACUGGGGCU
rnacentral:rRNA from 1 species